rnacentral:rRNA from 1 species
CUCUGUGACUCCUACGGGAGGCAGCAGUGGGGAAUAUUACACAAUGGGCGCAAGCCUGAUGCAGCAACGCCGUGUGAGUGAAGAAGGUUUUCGGAUCGUAAAACUCUGUCCUAAGGGAAGAAACAAAUGACGGUACCUUAGGAGGAAGCCCCGGCUAACUACGUGCCAGCAGCCGCGGUAAUACGUAGGGGGCAAGCGUUAUCCGGAAUCACUGGGCGUAAAGGGUGCGUAGGCGGCUUAGCAAGCCAGGGGUGAAAGGCAUUGGCUCAACCAAUGUAAGCCUUUGGAACUGUUAAGCUUGAGUGCAGGAGAGGUAAGUGGAAUUCCUAGUGUAGAGGUGAAAUUCGUAGAUAUUAGGAGGAACACCAGUGGCGAAGGCGACUUACUGGACUGUAACUGACGCUGAUGCACGAAAGCGUGGGUAGCGAACAGGAUUAGAUACCCUGGUAG